rnacentral:lncRNA from 1 species
CCGAUCUUAAAAUAAUCAGACUUUCAAUUUUGCCCAUAUUAGGUGUUGUUUUCAUUGUCUGAAGGGGUUAUCCCCCUGUCAUUACAAGUCCAUGCCAAAAGGAAAAGAUGUGCAAAUCUGAAAGGAAUCUUUAUUUAAAGCGAAGUCGUUCGUAAUAUAUUUACAGAUUUUUCAAAUCUCAGGGCUGUAGAAGGUCUGCUCCCCAUCAAAGUCCAACAGAGAUGGAGUUGAUGAUCCCAAUU